UGGAUCCAGACUUUGAUUAUGGCUCAGGAUGAACGCUAGCUACAGGCUUAACACAUGCAAGUCGAGGGGAAACGACAUUGAAAGCUUGCUUUUGAUGGGCGUCGACCGGCGCACGGGUGAGUAACGCGUAUCCAACCUGCCCAUCACUUGGGGAUAACCUUGCGAAAGUAAGACUAAUACCCAAUGAUAUCUCUAGAAGACAUCUGAAAGAGAUUAAAGAUUUAUCGGUGAUGGAUGGGGAUGCGUCUGAUUAGCUUGUUGGCGGGGUAACGGCCCACCAAGGCGACGAUCAGUAGGGGUUCUGAGAGGAAGGUCCCCCACAUUGGAACUGAGACACGGUCCAAACUCCUACGGGAGGCAGCAGUGAGGAAUAUUGGUCAAUGGACGAGAGUCUGAACCAGCCAAGUAGCGUGCAGGAUGACGGCCCUAUGGGUUGUAAACUGCUUUUAUAAGGGAAUAAAGUGAGUCUCGUGAGACUUUUUGCAUGUACCUUAUGAAUAAGGACCGGCUAAUUCCGUGCCAGCAGCCGCGGUAAUACGGAAGGUCCGGGCGUUAUCCGGAUUUAUUGGGUUUAAAGGGAGCGUAGGCCGGAGAUUAAGCGUGUUGUGAAAUGUAGACGCUCAACGUCUGCACUGCAGCGCGAACUGGUUUCCUUGAGUACGCACAAAGUGGGCGGAAUUCGUGGUGUAGCGGUGAAAUGCUUAGAUAUCACGAAGAACUCCGAUUGCGAAGGCAGCUCACUGGAGCGCAACUGACGCUGAAGCUCGAAAGUGCGGGUAUCGAACAGGAUUAGAUACCCUGGUAGUCCGCACGGUAAACGAUGGAUGCCCGCUGUUGGUCUGAAUAGGUCAGCGGCCAAGCGAAAGCAUUAAGCAUCCCACCUGGGGAGUACGCCGGCAACGGUGCAACUCAAAGGAAUUGACGGA
rnacentral:rRNA from 1 species